GGAAUUAAAAACUCUUUAAAUAAAAUCUCAUAAGAGUCAAAUGUCACUUUUAAAGACAUCAUUCAAAAGUACACAAGCGGAAUACUAAGUCUCUUAGCCAUCUUAGACAUAAACGUGAAAACAUACUAGGGACACGGCCCUUUACAAUCAAAAGAAGUCUAUUAAGUCUAUUACAAGAACCUUAUCAUAAAACUAGAAUAGAAAAC
rnacentral:lncRNA from 1 species